rnacentral:rRNA from 1 species
CCUACGGGGAGCAGCAGUGGGGAAUAUUGCACAAUGGGGGAAACCCUGAUGCAGCGACGCCGCGUGAGUGAAGAAGUAAUUCGUUAUGUAAAGCUCUUUCAGCAGGGAAGAAAAUGACGGUACUGGGGUAAGAAGCCCGGCCUAACUCGGUGCAAGCAGCCGAGGCAAUACGUAGGGGGAAAGCGUGAUCCGGAGUUACUGGGUGUAAGGGGAGGGUAGAGGGCAGUGCAAGUCGGUAGUGAAAGGGGGGGGCUCAACCCCCGGACUGCACUGGAAACUGUACGGCUAGAGUGCAGUAGAGGUAAGUGGAAUUCCUAGUGUAGCGGUGAAAUGCGUAGAGAUUAGGAGGAACACCAGUGGCGAAGGCGGCUUACUGGACUGUAACUGACGUUGAGGCUCGAAAGCGUGGGGAGCAAACAGGAUUAGAUACCCUUGUAGUC